rnacentral:rRNA from 2 species
AAUAAAUACAACUUUCAACAACGGAUCUCUUGGCUCUCGCAUCGAUGAAGAACGCAGCGAAAUGCGAUAAGUAAUGUGAAUUGCAGAAUUCAGUGAAUCAUCGAAUCUUUGAACGCACCUUGCGCCCCUUGGUAUUCCGAGGGGCAUGCCUGUUUG